GGCGGCUGCCCACAUCUUCCCCUCCCUCAGCCAGGAGGCGGGAGGGGCUGCUGGCCUAAGACCUUUUGCGGGCUGCAAUUGGCUGCCAACGGCUGAACCCGCAGCACCCAUUGGCGGGGUAACUUGUCAAUCGCAUCGUGUCCUUCUCCAGGGUCCCUUCGCCUGAGAGGCCUGCGGUCGGGGCCGGGAGCGAAGGCCGGGGAGCGGCGGGAAGAGGCGGCCGGGGCUGCGCCUGCCGUGAGGGGUGUCCCAGCCCGGCGGGAGGCAAGUGGCCCCGGGCGCGGUGUGCCAGCAGCCCUUCUCCCAGACGUGGUGACAGCUGGCCGCUGUGGCAGCCUUGGAAUGUGCGCUGGACACAUUGGAACCCACCGGACAGAAGGGUGGAAAGCGAUGGCGCAGCCUCGUGUGGAUUUGGUCCAGGAGGGACGUUUUAAUCCCGAGGCGAAGAGGGCCAAACCACUGCCACCCGUCUCCGUUUCCCUACUGACCACGGCCCUGUGGUGAGCAGGUGUGGAGCCCAGCCCAGGCGCUUCAGGGAUCCACAUUCCGUGUUUAAAAAUAGUUCCCGGGGUUAUGAUGGGUAUGGAGGGAUCGGGAGGUCGCGUUUUCUCCUCACUGCCUCUGAAGAUGAGCAAUUCUCCGGUUUCCCAGCUGCUGAAUGCUUCUGCUUGCUCCACACUGUAAAUUCAACACUCCUGGGAAGCAAGAGGCCCACAGUCCCAUCUCGCUUGCUGCGCUGCAGGCACUGAACAACGAUGGUCUCUGUCAUAAGGCAGAGCUUUCAACUGAAAAGCUGUUUGUUUUUCCUGCUUGUCUGUGUUAAACAUUCCUCUGCUGAGCGAUUUUUAAUAUUUGCUAAAUAUGCUUUAAUUACUGCUCAGAACUGUCUCUGUGAUCUUAUAACCAUGUUAUAAAAGGAGUUUAUACAGCAAUUAAAAACAGGUUUUACCCCAGAGCAUGCACUUGGGUAGCCAGCGUCAUAUUUCUGAUAGCUAACAGCAUUUUAAAAAUGGAUCUGAGCCAGGCAUCAACAACAAAGAAAGACUUAUAUAUGCUUAAUUUUACCACAGUGUUUUUUAAAUCAGAACCAUAUUUUUAAUUCUCUUAUUUUGGACCAAAAAUCCUCCCCCUGAAGACAAUGCUAAAACUCUAUUGAUUUAGAUCAGUAGGGCAGGAUUAGGUCCACAAUGAGCCUUGUUCUUUAAGAAUUAGCACAGACUUUGAUCUAAAUUAAAAUUUAACAAGUGCACUGACAAGACCACCAGCAGCCACAUGAACAUACACAGAUGAAUGCUGUAUUUUAGUUUUCCAGCUCUGCCAUGAAAAAUGCACUUCCACAUUUUUAAGCCAAAAUCUCUCAUUCACAUAGAAUCCAGGUCCCACAAAUUUUGUAGUAUUUUUUAAAUGAAAUCAGCAUUUUGGGGCCCUCAAAAGACAGGCAUUGCUGUUGCAUUCAUUCAUUCAGCAUGUUGGUUUAACCUGCAUCUGUUGAGGGAUGAAAAAAUGGAGUUUCCACAAAGGUCUUAAUCCUUAGUCCACUUCAGAUCUCCAAGCAGCAUCUUCUCCUUUUUCAUUGUUAAUAUUCUGCUUAUGCUACUCUUCCCAAUUUGCUUUAUUUUGUCUAGUUUGUGUAGGUUGUAAGCUCAUCAGGGCGGACGUGAUGCCUGUAUUUAUAAAACAGCCUAUGAAGUAGUGCUGCUGAAUCCAGUGGUUUGUUGUAAUAAUAAGAAGUUUUAGUAGAAAUCUGAAGUGGAAAAGCAGUUUCCUCAUGCAUCCACUUCUGCUGUGGACCAGGCUUUACAGGAGACUGAGAAGUGGAAAAAAUCCAAAUGUCUUUCAAGUAGGAAGGCUGCAAUCUGAGAAAGUCUCAGAGCUGGGUUUCCCCUGAUUUUUGACUUCCAGGAAAACACCACAGUGAUUAGAGCAGGCGGUGCCCUCCUCCCAUUGAUUUUGCUGCAAAGUAAAGGCUUUCUUCUGGCACCUGCAAGCACAACAGGCACACGAUCCAUGCACAAAAUGCUUUCAUUCUUAUAAGCUUUACUUUGGGUUUUGAGAAAUAAGGCAAGGACCAUGCCAUGGAGGAAGGAGGAGUGAUUUAAAACCCUCCAACUGGGAAGCUGAUGAAAGACACUUCACAUGCCCACACCUCCUUUCGCCCUGGGAAUGUCAAAGCUUCUAAGGACAGAAAAGUUUUCCCACUGGCCUUUUCUGUGGAGGGUAAAUCUCCAUUAUGAAGCAUUUCUAAGCAGCUGAGCAGGACAGAGGGGUUGAGAAUGUGUUUCAGAGCCUUUUCACUCAUUGCUGAAAGCGCAAAAUAAGCCUGAUGCAAGCAUCCAGACCCUGACAGACAAGCAGGUACACCUGGCCUGACUCCUCUUUUGCAGUUGGUGCAGGGUGGCCAAGGACUGUUGGUUCUAUUACGCAAAGCUUUGUGUGUGUAUUCAAGACCAUUUUGGACUCUUUAUUGUUACACAAAACUCUCCUAGAAAAAUAUUGUCAGCACAUAACUCCUGACAGAAAUCAGUUUAGCAAUGCCAGAGAAGAUCCUGUUGCAGCAGGGAAGGCCCAAGUGUCCCUGGGUACUUAAAUCUCCUGAGGGAUGGCCAUGGCAGGACUGAACACAGAAAGCAGCUUUUGGAGGAAACAUUGCUUCUCUCAAGGUGGUACAGCAUGGGUACUCUGUCAUCUGGGAGUGCAUGGGCCCAGUUUACAGCUGGCAAACUUUGAAGAAAUAAAAUAAAACAUCUUGUGUGACAUUACAGUGAAGCAACAUGAAUUCUCUUAAAAGGCAAUGAGAAGAGAAACCCUAGGAAUAGAAAGAUAGGAUUGAAUAAGGUUUUGUUCACUUCUUGCUAUCUGGGAAUAAGAUUUGUGAGGGAAUAUUGUUCUUAUCCUUAUAAACGGCCAAUAUCUUCUUGAACCCAGGUAAGCUGAGGCCAGGCGAGGUUAGUGGUUCACAUUAGCAGAUUCUAAUGACAUGAGUUUACAAUAAUAGUGUAAUAGUUCAGUGUAACAGUGACUCAUAGCUUAUUACGAUGGCAAUAGGAAUGUAUAGAGAUCUCAUCUGAAAAAAAAUCUAUUUGGAUAGUUCACAUCCUUUCCUUCCUUACUCAUGAAUUCCUGUGUCAUUGACUGCUGGCUGCUAAAAAUAGGAUCCUUUUUGUGUAUCUAAAGUAAAGGAAAACCUAGAAUGAGAGACAGUAGGAGACAACCAAGGUCUUUACAUACAGAGCCUUCAGGAAAUAUUUGUAAUGAAAGCCCUCCAAGAGUGCAGGAAUGUUUUUAAAAGAUGGGAACAAUCUAAGUGUAAGAAGAUAUUCUGCCGGGGAAAGUGGAGAAGAGUUAAUGAAUCACACCAGCUCCCAGCUUUGGUAUUUUACACCAUGGGGAUGAGAAGAUUCCUCUCUCUAUUAGGUAUACUACCAAGCUACAGUUUCAUCUUUGAGAAGCUGUUCCAGUUCAGCAGCAGGAGAGCAAGCUUCAGGGAACAGGCCAGGAGCAGCCCUGUGGGCUGAUGAGGAGCCAGAGAGGAGCCACAAGAGGAAACUAGGAGUUGCUUGAAGUUGUACAAAUCUCUGAAGGACAGCAGUAGGAAAGGAGAACCAGGAAGACACAAGUAAGGUAUCUGCAAAUUAAAUGGAUUACCACCACCACCCCUGUGAAAAAUUAAAAAACCCACAUGGCACCUCUGAAACAAACCACUGAAGUGUGAAAUCAUACGGCAGGGAAAGCUGUCACACAGAAUCAGAAAUUGAUGUAAUAGAGAAAAAUUGACUGCUGCAUAAUUUGUGCAGAUUGCUAGCUGAGAGAGAGAGAUCCAUAGCUCCUAAGGGCUUAGCUGUGGGCACUGUCUGGCAAAAGGUGUGGAAAGCAAAAUUUCAUAGUUGGUAAUUCUACGUGUACUGAAUGCUUCCUCUUCAAUACCAAACAAUUAAAAUCGAUGACAGGAUGCUAGGUAACAAAAGAAAAUGACUGAUCAAUAUGCAUGUCUUGGAGCUGAAGAAAAACCCGUCUGCCGAGAGCAGCAUGCUGAUGAGGCGAGAUUUCUGAGAGCCCAAAUAGAAAAUCUUAAAAGCUUCCAUUCCCGAUGCUCAAUAAAACAAUGCAGCUAAGCAGAUGCCAGAUGCAGUGCUAGGAGAGCUUAAGUCACCAAGGAGGCUAAAUAAUAACUGUUAGGAAAAACAGGGAAUAUUCAUUUUUAGACUAAAUAGCUUUACAGUAAAAAAUGUGAUGCUUCUCUUCUUUGCCUUUCUUUCUAAAGAGCUCAAAAGCCCUUUACUGAUACUGAAAAAUAAUGUUCUUUGUAUACUCAUGUGAGGUUUUAGAGAUGCUGAGGCACUGACAUUUUAAGGCCAAUGUCCAUUUUAGUCUUCAGCUCAAAGCAGUUUAAAUCUCAUUUCCAUGUAUAUUUCCGUUGGGGGUGUCUGCCAAGUGCUGCCAAAAAUCAAACACUAAUCUUUGAUGAUUCAGUAGUUUUAAGUCAGUCACCUGAUUUCUUAAUACUUCCAGAAAUGUUGUUGUAAAGCAGUCCGCAGGGUCUGCCAUGGCUCCAGCAGGGCAGGGAAUGACACAUGGACCUUCGGGUUCACUUACCCAGUUUUCCCCUCCUGAAUGGUAUUUUUUGUUUCUGAGGCAGCAGAUCGUAAACUGGCACAGAAGCAGUUAAGCACCUAAGGAAUUGUGGCUUUUACAUUUCGUUCUGCUGACACAAACAGAAGGCGAACAUAACUGAAUAUUAGAGCCAGAAAAAUGCUGCAAAAACUUUGUGAAAGUUCACUUCAUCGUAACCCCCACAUUUGGCUGACCAUAUUUCCCGUGAGUCCAUCCUUUUUCUAACUGCAGCCUCCUCAACAGUGGAUAAAGGUCUCUUUCUUAGCCUCCUGACUUUGAUUUCGUUAAUAAACCAGGCAAGAUUCGUA